GGGAUAUUAGUCUAAGAAGGGCGCCCCGCUGUUAACGGGGAAGUAGUUAAAGUUAAACUAUGUCUCU